AACUGCAUAAAGUGACAUUAUCUUAUUGCAACAAUACUGUAAAUGAUACAUCUCAUUAUCACAAUUAGUGUGAGGUUUAUGCUGUGUUUGACAUUUGACACUGUCCAGUGUUCACCAGAUCAUGUAUAUUGGAAGAUAUCAGUAAGUGCUGUCAGGGGUGGUCUGGAUUUCUUCCUGGUUUAUUUUGAGCUUGUUUUUUUUUUCUUCUUUACUUUUUCAUCUUCCACCUUUUCUGUUUCCUGUUUUCUGUAAUUAUUUGUUUCUUCUUGCAUUGCUGAGGGAGGACUCUUCACCUUGGGAGCAGAUUUCUGCCUGUCCUUAGGAGGAGACUCAAAGGAAGAGGGAAUAUUUCUGAAAGGUUUCAUAUGGGGUUUUGUUUUGGAAGAAGCAAUGAAUACUUGGUCUCUUUCCAACUUCUCUACACCACUCGUGAAUUUGCACAUCUUUUUAGUCAUCUCUUUUUCAGACUAGAAAAAAAUAUGUAUUGGGCAAGUUUAAGAAAACAACAAAAACAAAGCAAUUUUUAAGACUUCGAGAAAACACUACUGCUUAUGAAAGUUACUAUCUAUUCUGCAGAAUGAAAGGCAGUAUUCUGCUUUCCUCCAGGAUCAAUAGAUGACUGAGAUGUCUGAUUUUGUUUGUUAUGCCUUAUCAUCACUUGCAAGGUGCCUGCUCUUCUUCCAGACUGACUGCAUUUGCUUACAUGUGCACCCUGAUGAUUUCACCCAAGUCAGCAUUGUUUCUAGAAUUAACAAACCUGGAACCAAAGCACGUCUCAAUAGGUAAGCAAAUCUGAUAGACUAUUUCUAAGUGUAAUAUCUGACAGAAUAACUGGGAUCUACUCUAUUGUCAUUGACUUAACUAGUCCUUACAAGCAUGACAGGUAUAGUGGGAAAGCUGUUUUCCUUAGGGAUGAUUGUUCUGUCCAAUACUAACAUUGCUCACAUUUUGGUGACAUCAUUCAUUAUAUAUUUGGAGCAGUCUUACAUUCUUGAUUAAAGUUCAUAAAAGUUCACUGAAAUUCUCAAAAAAUUAUUGUUUCAUUCAGCCCCAGUGCCAUGGGCAUCACAAUCACUUAAAUAUUUUUUUUUCUGAGUGUUUACUUGAUUGUAUUUCACAUUAGCCUGACCUAAUUUACCCACAUCUCAAAGGCCAUGCCAGGUUUCAUUCCCUGUAAGUCAGUAUAGCCUCUUGGAGAGCCUGGGGAUAUAUCCAGAUCCAGUGGAAAUAGCUACAGCCUUGUUUUAUUACUGCUGGAAUUUGACCUAUAAGAAAAAACCUUGCUUCCAUUUUAUCCUACUGAAGCUGUUUCUUAAGCCAAGAAACCUAAAUUCUGGAUUCCCCUAUAUUUCUUCUAAAACAAACAAGCAAACAAACAAACUCCAACGAAACACACACACAAUGUCCACCCCUCUACACCCAGCAAAAUACUGUCCAUGAGUACUGAUAUAAAUUUUGUUCAUGUCUCUCACUGUUACUUCCUGUUUGGAGCUAUCCUUGAUGUACUUUUUUUCCCAAAGAAAAGUCUUAUAAUCAUCUUUUUUAUAAAGGGAGAAUCUGGAAAGUCUUUGAAGAAAUAAAA